rnacentral:misc_RNA from 1 species
AACCUAGCACACCUGCGGUGUGUACCUGCGGAAGGAUCAUUACCGAGUUUACAACUCCCAAACCCCUGUGAACAUACCAAUUGUUGCCUCGGCGGAUCAGCCCGCUCCCGGUAAAACGGGACGGCCCGCCAGAGGACCCCUAAACUCUGUCUCUAUAUGUAACUUCUGAGUAAAACCAUAAAUAAAUCAAAACUUUUAACAACGGAUCU